rnacentral:misc_RNA from 1 species
GAAAUGCGAUACGCAGUGCGAAUUGCAGAACGCGAGUCAUCAGAUCUUUGAACGCAAGUGGCGCCGGUUAGCAGCCGGCAUGUGGGGUUCAGUGUGUUUGGAAAUCACAAACGCGGAAUGUGGUUGAAGGCAGGCGACUGUCUUCUCCCAUUAAACCACGCUACAGGCGCCCCCUCUCCUCCCCCUCAAAAGGAAGGAAGAGGCUGCACUCCCUGUGCUCGGUAGUAGUCACUAGCAUCCUAGUGAUCUACGAGCUCUUACACCAGGGUCUAGUCGCAGUGCGGCGCCUAACAACCAUCUCCAUUCACUACACCUGAGCUCCGCAAGAUCACCCGCUGAACUUAA